rnacentral:tRNA from 1 species
GCUCCUGUAGUGUAGUCCGGUAAUCAUUUGGGACUCUCACUCCCAAGACCCGGGUUCGAUUCCCGGCGGGAGCACCA